rnacentral:rRNA from 1 species
CUGAAACCGUGUGCUUACAAGUAGUCAGAGCCCGUUAAUGGGUGAUGGCGUGCCUUUUGUAGAAUGAACCGGCGAGUUACGAUUUGAUGCAAGGUUAAGCAGUAAAUGUGGAGCCGUAGCGAAAGCGAGUCUGAAUAGGGCGUUUAGUAUUUGGUCGUAGACCCGAAACCAGGUGAUCUACCCUUGGUCAGGUUGAAGUUCAGGUAACACUGAAUGGAGGACCGAACCGACUUACGUUGAAAAGUGAGCGGAUGAACUGAGGGUAGCGGAGAAAUUCCAAUCGAACCUGGAGAUAGCUGGUUCUCUCCGAAAUAGCUUUAGGGCUAGCCUCAAGUGAUGAUUAUUGGAGGUAGAGCACUGUUUGGACGAGGGGCCCCUCUCGGGUUACCGAAUUCAGACAAACUCCGAAUGCCAAUUAAUUUAACUUGGGAGUCAGAACAUGGGUGAUAAGGUCCGUGUUCGAAAGGGAAACAGCCCAGACCACCAGCUAAGGUCCCAAAAUAUAUGUUAAGUGGAAAAGGAUGUGGCGUUGCCCAGACAACUAGGAUGUUGGCUUAGAAGCAGCCAUCAUUUAAAGAGUGCGUAAUAGCUCACUAGUCGAGUGACACUGCGCCGAAAAUGUACCGGGGCUAAACAUAUUACCGAAGCUGUGGAUUGUCCUUUGGACAAUGGUAGGAGAGCGUUCUAAGG